rnacentral:tRNA from 1 species
UUAACAGAAGCCAAAAAGAGGCUUAUUAUUGUUAAUAAUAAAAAUGAGAUAAUCCUGUUGUU